AAUCAAGUGGAGGACAAGUCUGGUGCCAGCACCCGCGGUAAUUCCAGCUCCACUAGCGUAUAUUAAAGUUGUUGCAGUUAAAAAGCUCGUAGUUGAACCUCUGUCUGGGGCUAGUUUUGGCUUUGGUCAGGCUAGUUCUAGGCAUCCGCCUACAAGACUUAGAGGGCAUUCAGUUGUUCACUAGGAGGAGUAGGCAUUUUACUUUGAAAAAAUUAGAGUGUUUAAGGCAGGCAAUCGCCCGCAUAUAUUAGCAUGGAAUAAUAGAAUAGGACACUUUUCCAUUUCGUUGGUUAUUGGAAUCGUGUAAUGAUUAAUAGGGACAGUUGUGGGCAUUUGUAUUUAAUUGUCAGAGGUGAAAUUCUUGGAUUUAUUAAAGACAAACUAACGCGAAAGCAUUUGCCAAGGAUGUUUUCAUUAAUCAAGAACGAAAGUUAGGGGAUCAAAGACGAUCAGAUACCGUCCUAGUCUUAACUAUAAACUAUUCCGACUCAAUGUUUGACUGGCUUAUAUAACCAGUUGAGCGUUGUAUGAGAAAUCAAAGUCUUUAGGUUCUGGGGGGAGUAUGGUUGCAAAGCUGAAACUUAAAGGAAUUGACGGAAGAGCACAACCAGGAGUGGAUUCUGCGGCUUAAUUUGACUCAACACGGGGAAACUUACCAGGUUAAAACAAUAGUGGGAUUGACAGUUUGAGAGCGCUUUCUUGAUUGGUUGGGUGGUGGUGCAUGGCCGUUCUUAGUUGGUGGAGUGAUUUGUUUGCUUAAUUGCGUUAACGAACGAGACCUUAACCUGCUUACUAGACUGGCGAUCAUCAAUCGUUAGCUCUUCUUAGAGGGACUUUGGUUGUUUUAACUCCAAGGAAGUUUGAGGCAAUAACAGGUCUGUGAUGCCCUUAGAUAUCCUGGGCCGCACGCGUCAUACAAUGACUAGUUCAGAAAGUUUUCUCCUGACCCGAAAGGGGAUGGGUAAUCUUGAUAAUACUAGUCGUGUUAGGGAUCGAUCUUUGCAAUUAUAGAUCUUGAACGAGGAAUUCCUAGUAAGUGCGGUUCAUCAGACCGUACUGAUUACGUCCCUGCUCUUUGUACACACCGCCCGUCGCUUCUACCGAGUGGGUGGUCCGGUGAGAUAAUUGAACUUCGCAGGUAACUGAGAGGAAAGAUUAUCAAACCUAUCCACCU
rnacentral:rRNA from 1 species